AUUUAUAUAGUUUAACUAAAACAUUACAUUUUCAAUGUAAAAAUAAUUAACUAAAUCAUUUAUAAAUA
rnacentral:tRNA from 1 species